CCUUGAGCCACAAUGUCACAAGUUGGCUCUUAACCUUCAGAUCUUGAUCAGACGGCUCAUAGUUAUAUAUCAUUUCGAAGAAAAAAUUGUGGCGUGCAAAGAUCUGAUAGGGGCGCACAUGAUAAAAAUAAUAAUAAAAUAUUUUCGAUGAUGAAAAGUUACCAUAAUAUUUUCGGUGACGGAAUAUUUGAUUUUUAUUUUAUUUAGGUUCGCCCUAGUUUAUGAUGGGAUGCUCAAAAUUUCAUCCAAAAAUGUUUUGUAUAAAAAAAUGAAAAAUAAAACAGCUUUUGGCGUGACAUUGUGGCAUGAACAAUCGUAGCCAUCAAUUUUGAAUCAAACAUCUAAGAAGUGGGGUCACGUAUAACUUCUAUCUUGUUUGGGUCACAGAGAAAGCUUUCCCUAUCCAUUUUCACUUAGUUUAUUGAAUUAAUAGAAUAAGUCCUUUGUGUUAUUAUAAUAAACUUCAUGCGCGGGCAAUUAAAUCUUCCUUUGUUGGAAAAUGACUUUCCAUGUUGCUAUGACUUUCUUAGUUUUAUUAAUGAUGGUGAUAUCAUUGUUGUCUCAUUAUGCAUUUUCCUUUGAUUGCAAGAGGAACUUGUUGAUAGGAGUAAGUACUGGGAUGACUUGGAGGAAGGGGAGGAAUAGAUGGAAGAAGAGGAAUUGGAGUUUCCCGUAGUAGGCCAACUGGUGUGAAGGCACUUGACGUCAUUGAUCUUCGAAAGCAAUAAAGGAAAGAGCCAAGGAAGCCUAUUGACCAAAUGAGUACAUUGAAAGAUUUUGGGCACAAUCUUCUAGUACUCGAAGAGAAGGAAGAAAGGAUUGCACCAGGAACCUUACUUGGAACAACGCACAUGUAUGUGCUUGGGGCAAUGGAUAAAACUGGUGCUAAAAGGGUUGAGCUACUACUAGGACUAAGUAGAUGUCACUCUUUGGUUGGAAGAAUUAGAGGCUUUGGAUGAUGUUACUAUGGCAGCAAAGUAAGGAAGCAAGGGAAGAGGAGAAACUAUGAAAUCAACGCAAAGGACUUUAGUGACAUUGUGGCAGAGGCUAAGAAAAAGAGGAAUCGCAAGAUGUAGGAAAAAGAAAGGGAAGGCAAAUAAGAAGGAUUUCAAGUUUUAGGCACAAAGCUAUACAUCAAAUUUGCAUGCUCCCCCUCCCCCAUUGGAUAUAUUCUGUUUGGGGAAUAUACUAUGAACUCUGAAAUUUGAAAUAUCUGAUACAUUGGAAGUUCUUAUCGAUAUGUAAAAUGUGAAGUUCUUUGGUUGAUCUUGAGCCCAUCUUGGUUCGAUUAAUAAAUGGACAAGGCAGCUAGCUACUAUUGAGGUAGGAGUGAUGUUUAAAGGGAAUUUGAUUAGUGAAUCCAUUAUGAGAUCGUCAAAGAAUCUUAACAGUGCCUGAAGUUGGUGGAAAGUUAGAAGUUGUUUUAUUUUC